AUGGACACUAGUACCAGAAGUGGUCCAUUACAUCGUCAUCGCCUCCCUCGCAACCCAGGCCAUCGAUCGUUCUACAGAACUGUUACGCCGCCCAGCUGCAUGCCGUGGUGGCAGGUCAGAAAACUUUACUUGGAGAUCAGCUACAUAACCCUUGUUCACAUAAUGGAGCGCUUUGAGGACAUGAUUAGAGAAUUCAUCAAAAGCAACGAAAGGGCAAAGCGGAGACCAGUGAACAAUCAUGGUAUAAAUAACUUCACAGAAGAUGAGAUUAAAAUGAUUACGAAGAACUACAAAAAUCCCAUAGGCAAAGGUGCCUUUGGAGAAGUUUACCGAGGCGUUCUUGAUGAUGGUAGUACAGUUGCAGUCAAGAAAUAUAUCUGCCAGAAUUUGAAAGACGGGUUUGCUAAGGAGAUAACUGUUCAUUGCCGAAUUGACCACAAGAAUGUUGUUAGGCUCUUGGGCUACUGUUUAGAAGAAAAUGCUUUAAUGAUUGUCACCGAGUAUAUCCCUGGAGGAAACCUCAAAGAUCUUCUCCAUGGCAGUGAUGAUCACAUUUCUUUGGAUGCAAGGUUGGGUAUUGCUAUAGAAUGUGCUGAGGCAUUAACAUGCAUGCAUUCAUUGCAUCAACCAAUCAUUCAUGGUGAUAUCAAGCCUGACAACAUACUUCUAGAUGAGAACUUGGGCGCAAAAUUAUCCGACUUUGGAAUAUCAAGGUUGCUUUGCAUGGACGAAACUGCUUACACCAUGCACGUUGCAGGAAGCAGAGGUUACAUGGAUCCAGAGCUCUUUGAAACUGGACGGGUCGAUCCUAGAAAUGAUGUUUACAGUUUCGGGGUUGUUAUGGUAGAGCUUGUUACCAGGGCAAAGGUAAAUGAGAAUGGGAUGAGUACCGGAGUCACGAGAAACUUCACUCAAGCUAUUGAAAAGGGGAAAACAGCAAGAGCGAUGUUUGAUACUAAAAUAGCAAACGUGAGCAACAUGAAAGUUCUGGACAAUAUAGGAAAGCUUGCAGCUGAAUGUCUCAGAAGGGAUAUAAAAAAACGCCCUGAAAUGAAAGAUGUUACAGAACGUCUACGGGCUCUUAGAAAAGCUUACUGCCAGCAAGAUCAAGAAAAAACAGGUCGGUGGUCAAUGAAAAAUGUGAACCGAAAAGGACAAAGCAUUUCCGCCAGUUCUAACUCUACUAUGUACUACAAGCUGAACAAUUUGGGCAUGUUUAGUACUUGGAAUGCACCCCGGAAUUUCAUGAGGAACGCAGGUCCAAUAGUAGAGCAAAUGCAAAACCUGAGGGUUUUCACAAGAGAAGAAAUAAGAAAAAUCACCAAUGGUUAUUCAUCAGAUGUAAUUGCCAAGUGUUCAUCUUGUGAGGUCUACAAAGGGACUCUUGAGGACAACACAUUGGUGGCAGUGAAUAUAGAGACCGCAGUGGAUGAAGCCCAUAGUGAAUCCUUUACAAAUAGCAUGCUCAUCUAUUCCAUCAUUCUCCACAAUAACAUUAUCAAACUGUUGGGUUGUUACUUGGAGGCGGAUGUCCCAAUAUUGGUGUAUGAGUUUGCUGCAAACGGGAAUCUCCAGGACAUCCUUCGUGGCAACUACAGCUUCCCGCUUGGUAUACGUCUAGAUAUCGCAGUUGGAUGCGCGGAAGCGUUAGCAUAUCUGCAUUCACGAUCCUUUGCAUUUGUGGGUGCUAACGUCACAUCCGCCAACAUACUGCUAGAUGACAGUUUGGUACCGAAGGUCUCCGGGCCUCUCUUCAUAUGUCACAGCAUCAGUAGCACAUCAGGUGAUGUUUACAGUUUUGGAAUUCUCCUUUUGGAACUUAUAACCAGGAAACAAGGAGGGUAUCGCAACAACAGCCCGCAGGAACUGAGGAAAGCUUACAUGAAAAAAGGGCACACCAUGUUUGACAAGGAGAUAGCCGCGAAGGCGGACAUUUUAAUACUUGAAAGGAUCCAGAUGGUUGCAAUGGACUGUUUGAAACUGGAUGCAUUGGCGCGACCAAAAAUGGCAGAGGUGGCAGAGCGGCUUCAGAGGCUUAAAAAUGUCGAAAGCACGGGAAGCGAACUGCGGGAGCUCUCCAUGCUGAGGAGGUUGGUAGCUUCCAGUAUCAGCAAAGCUAGAGAAAACACUACCCCGGCCACCUGA
rnacentral:rRNA from 1 species